UACGGAGGGUGCAAGCGUUAUCCGGAUUCACUGGGUUUAAAGGGUGCGUAGGCGGACAAGUAAGUCAGUGGUGAAAUCUCUGGGCUUAACUCAGAAACUGCCGUUGAUACUAUUUGUCUUGAAUAUCAUGGAGGUAAGCGGAAUAUGUCAUGUAGCGGUGAAAUGCUUAGAUAUGACAUAGAACACCGAUAGCGAAGGCAGCUUACUACAUGAAGAUUGACGCUGAGGCACGAAAGCGUGGGGAGCAAACAGG
rnacentral:rRNA from 1 species